rnacentral:rRNA from 1 species
CUACGGGCUGCUCCAGUUAGGAAUAAUCUACAAUGCGCGAAAGCGUGAUAGUUUGAGCCAGAGUGCUUUCCAAAUUGGAAAGCUUUUGCCAAAUGUAAAAAGUUUGGCGAAUAAGGACUGGGUAAGACUAGUGCCAGCCGCCGCGGUAAUACUAGCGGUCCAAGUCGCAGCCAUUUUUAUUGGGUCUAAAACAUCCGUAGCUUGCUUAAUAAGUUUCUUGUGAAAUUUUACGUCUUAAACGUAGAGCGUGCAAGAAGUACUGUUGAGCUAGAGACUGGAAGACGUAAGAAGUACGGUCAAAGUAGCGGUAAAAUGCGUUAAUCUUGAACGGACUCACAAUAGCGAAGGCAUCUUACGAGGACAGUUCUGACAGUAAGGGAUGAAAGCCAGGGGCGCAAAACGGAUUAGAUACCCCCGUAGUC